rnacentral:rRNA from 1 species
CGGACCAAGGAGUUUAGCGUGUGCGCGAGUCACUGGGUGGAAAACCUAAAGGCGCAAUGAAAGUGAAGAAAGUCUCUGACCUUUGAGGGAAGAUGGGCGUCCGUCCUUCGCAGGCGGCGCCCCGCACUCCCGGGGCGUCUCUUUCUCAUUACGAGUGGAGGCGCACCUGUAGCGCACACGCUGAUACCCGAAAGAUGGUGAACUAUGCCUGGCCAGGACGAAGCCAGGGGAAACCCUGGUGGAGGUCCGCAGCGAUUCUGACGUGCAAAUCGAUCGUCGGAGCUGGGUAUAGGGGCGAAAGACCAAUCGAACCAUCUAGUAGCUGGUUCCUUCCGAA